UAUUAUAAUAAUGAUUUUAUAUUUUUGUAAUUGUUUAUAUAUUUUUUGUUUGCCUUUUGUAGAUCACCGAGAUGCUGAAACAGACUCUAGAUAUGUUGCGGAGAAUAGAUGGGGAAAUGGGUCAGGUGAGGACACAAUUGUUGAGACUAGAGAGGGCGCAGGAAUCACUAGAGAGGGGGCAGGCAGCACUAUGUGCUCAUCUACGCAUCCCACAUAUUUCCCUAGAUCGCAGCGAUCAUGCUCAUGAGCAGUCCCAGGGUGGUGAUCAGGUAGAUCUUGAUCAUCACGAUGAGGAGCAGGCAUCUACAUCUAGACUACAGGAGGAGGAAGUGGUUAGGGUCGACAGACGACCUAUGCGAGAUAGAUUGCCAUCGCAAUUUCGUCGGCCACCCUUCACCGAUCCAACAAAAUAUAAAAGGAGAAAGAAGGAUGCCGCUUUGGAGGGGUCGGACGUGGACUCGACGCCACCGGUACUAGACCUAAUCCCGCCGGACAUAGAGACAGUGCCCCCUGAGGGCUAUAUUGAGUUCAUAGGUUCCAAUGAAAAUAUUAGUCUUCACACUGGUUUCAUUCUCAACCUAACACCGGAUGACCUCCGAAACAUAGAGAAUGAGGCCAACUGGUUGGAGGGUUACCAUAUUGAUAGUUACAUGUGUUGCUUAAGACGUAUACAGUCUCGGCGUCAAUAUGACACAAACUACGCUAUCAUGUCAACCUCGUUUUUUGUGAGUUUGCACUACUUAUUUAUUUUUUUUAUUUUUUUGCAUUUAAUUUAGUCUAUGACCAAUAUUUUUAUUUUAUUUUUCAGGCAUCCAUAGUAAGAUUUUGGGAACAGGAGUACGGGGGCAACAGGAGGUUUUUUGCGCCUUCUAUCGCAUCUAUCCCGGAAGAGUGGACCGGUUUCGUCGACGGGCGCACUGACAGGAGUCUCCCUUGGUGGACGGUCGAUUAUGUGUUGCUCCCUUGUAAUGUAGCGAAUUCUCACUGGUUUCUCUUAAAGAUUUGCUUGAAAGAUAGGAGAAUUGUCAUAUAUGACUCCAAUGCCAUGAAUGAAGACAGUCGUAGGAGCAGGGUCGAAGCUAUACAACCACUUGUGAGCCUCUUACCCAUUCUACUAAAGAAAGCUGCAUAUUAUGAACAUGUAACCACAACUGCGACGCUAGACAGAGAUUGGGAAGUAGAGAAUACUGAUCCUCAGAAGUUGCCUCAACAACCGGAUGGGGCCAGCUGCGGGUGCUACGUUAUCAAAUACGUCGAGGACAUACUGAGGCAUAAUGAGGAUCACUGGCAGAUGCACCCGACUGUGGAUGUCCGUACCCUCCGGAGACAGAUUGGAAUAUUUUUGUAUAGACAUAGUACGAUAGUACGGUAGUAUACUUGUAGAUUAAUAGAUUAGAAAAUUCUUCGUUUUGUGUUUUUAUUUUCAUCUAGUUUAAAUGUUGUAUAUAUUUUUGUAUAGGUAUAGCAAAUAGCAAAUUAUGUAUUGUUCACUUGAUGAAAUGUGGUUUGUGGUGUUGUUGAGGGUAAGGGAUAAGUGGUUGUGGUGGCAGUAUGUUGUUGGGAAGAGAGACUGAGUCUCUAAUGUUGUGAUGUUGUCAUGUUAUUCCAUUGUUGGACAUAGAGACUGAGUCUCUAAUGCAGGUAGGAUGACCAAGAAACAGGGGAGACUCUGUCGAAAUUUUUAAAUCAC